AUUGAACGCUGGCGGCAGGCCUAACACAUGCAAGUCGAACGAGUGGCGGACGGGUGAGUAAUGUCUGGGAAACUGCCCGAUGGAGGGGGAUAACUACUGGAAACGGUAGCUAAUACCGCAUACCAUCGGAUGUGCCCAGAUGGGAUUAGCUUGUAGGUGAGGUAACGGCUCACCUAGGCGACGAUACCUAGCUGGUCUGAGAGGAUGACCAGCCACACUGGGACGGGGACAAGGUCCAGAUUCUGAGGGGAGGCAGCAGUUGGGAAUAUUGCAAAAUGGUCGCAAGUCUGAUGCAGCCAUGCCGAGUGUAGGAAGAAGGCCGUCGGGUUUUAAAGUAAUUUCAGGGGGGAGGCGGUACCCACAGAAGAAGCACCGGAUAACUCCGUGCCAGCAGCUGCGUUAAUAC
rnacentral:rRNA from 1 species